rnacentral:tRNA from 1 species
GUCCUUGUAGUAUAAACUAUUACUCUGGUCUUGUAAACCAGAAAUGGAGAACACCUGCUCCCGAGGACA